rnacentral:rRNA from 1 species
UUUAUGGAGAGUUUGAUCCUGGCUCAGGAUGAACGCUGGCGGCGUGCCUAAAACAUGCAAGUCGAGCGGCAGCGAGUUCCUCACUGUGGUUCGGAAUAUUUUUCAGGUAGCAGAUAUCAUUUAUCAGUAAUUUAUCAGGUGUCAUUUUGCAGAGAGCUUUCAAAGAAAUCUCUGCUAAAUGCAAAAUGCUAAAUCUCUGCUAAAUGCAAAAUGCUAAAUGAUUAAUACUUUCCGAGCUAGAGUGAGGAAAGUCGGCUAGCGGCGGACGGGUGAGUAACACGUGGGA